GCGCUUGCUCCACAACACAUACAUUAAAAUAUGACAUGGAGAAGAUUAACACGGCCCCUACACAAGGAUGACAAGCAAAAUCAUGAAGUGGUCCACAUUUUU